UGCCAGGAAAAUUCCAUGAAGAUUUUGGCUUAAAAGAACUUUUACUAACUUUCUGUUUAGAAUAAUUACAAAAAAAGUAUCUUUUGAAAAAAAGUUACCUUGCGAUUGUAUUAACCCAUUAAAAACGAAAAAUAACCAAGAAUAGAGCUGCUUUAGGAAAAUUCUUGCACGAGUUAGAAAGGAGGAAAAUUGGCUUUUCAAAAGUCGUCAAGUUUUUGUAUCCCAAAAAUCAAGCGGAAUAAUUUCUCAAAAUUCUUCGAAGUGAGAUAUCUGGAAUCCGUUUUAAUGUCUUGUUGCAUUUGUAGAUAUAUAAAAAAAUAAAUUUAUGGCAAUAAUCCUAAUUCUUGA